CGGCGGACGGGUGAGUAACACGUGGAUAACCUACCUAUAAGACUGGGAUAACUUCGGGAAACCGGAGCUAAUACCGGAUAAUAUAUUGAACCGCAUGGUUCAAUAGUGAAAGACGGUUUUGCUGUCACUUAUAGAUGGAUCCGCGCCGCAUUAGCUAGUUGGUAAGGUAACGGCUUACCAAGGCAACGAUGCGUAGCCGACCUGAGUGGGUGAUCGGCCACACUGGAACUGAGACACGGUCCAGACUCCUACGGGAGGCAGCAGGC
rnacentral:rRNA from 1 species